rnacentral:rRNA from 1 species
ACGAGAGGAUGAGGAAGCUUGCUUCUUCAGAAUCGAGUGGCAAACGGGUGAGUAACGCGUAAACAACCUGCCCCCCGGGAUGGGGACAACAGCUGGAAACGGCUGCUAAUACCGAAUACGAUCAUACUGCCGCAUGGCAGCAUGAUGAAAGGAUGGCCUCUUAAAAAAGCUAUCGCACGGGGAGGGGUUUGCGUCUGAUUAGCUGGUUGGAGGGGUAACGGCCCACCAAGGCGAUGAUCAGUAGCCGGUCUGAGAGGACGAACGGCCACAUUGGAACUGAGACACGGUCCAGACUCCUACGGGAGGCAGCAGUGGGGAAUCUUCCGCAAUGGGCGAAAGCCUGACGGAGCAACGCCGCGUGAGUGAAGACGGCCUUCGGGUUGUAAAGCUCUGUUAUAUGGGACGAACGGCUGCGGGGCCAAUACCCCCGCAGCGUGACGGUACUGUAAGAGAAAGCCACGGCUAACUACGUGCCAGCAGCCGCGGUAAUACGUAGGUGGCAAGCGUUGUCCGGAAUUAUUGGGCGUAAAGGGCGUGCAGGCGGCUGAUCAAGUCUGUCUUAAAAGUGCGGGGCUUAACCCCGUGAUGGGACGGAAACUGAUUGGCUAGAGUGUCGGAGAGGAAAGCGGAAUUCCUAGUGUAGCG